rnacentral:rRNA from 1 species
UACGAGGGGGGCGAGCGUUAUCCGGAAUUACUGGGCGUAAAGCGCACGCAGGCGGUUCGCCAAGUUUGGAGUGACAGUUGUCGGCUCGACCGACAAAGGACUUCAAAAACUGGUGAACUUGAGGACGAGAGAGGAACAUGGAACUCCAGGUGUAGUAGUGAAAUGCGUAGAUAUCUGGAAGAACACCAAUGGCGAAGGCAAUGUUCUGGCUCGUUUCUGACGCUCAGGUGCGAAAGCCAGGGGAGCGAACGGG